AUAUCAUAAAAUGAUGCAUGUGAAUGAUCAUGGUUCUCAUUAAUAAUCAUUAAAAGAGUUGCAUUCUUUUAGGUUAGUAUUACUCACCUCUUGAAACCUAUCAAACACCGUAAUCACGAAUGGUAGCUAAUCCUUAACUGUAUCCUUUCGAGUUUCUUACAUUUCGAUCCUAUAAAAGACGGAUCCUAAUGAGUUAUCGGGAUCUCUAUAACUCUAUACAUAUAUCAUACAAUAUAUUCUAGGUCCAAAAGGUGUCUAAAAAUAAGUUUUGGAAUCUUAAAACAAAAAGGGAAAUAAGGUAGGCAAAACCAACUUUGGCUGCUAAAGUAAGGAACUUCGACUGCCGAAGUCCUAAACCUUAAAUGCCCUUUUUGAGCAGUAGCUACACCGGCUACUGAAGUCUUGAACUUUAAAAACUCUCGAGAAACGAAAUCUACUUUGGCUGCCAAAAUAAUGAUUUUUGUAGCCAAACCUAGAAAUUUUCAAAAUUUUCAAUUCAAAUUCUGUAGAAAACCAUACGCCCAAAACCUUCAAAAACUCAUCUCUUAAAAGCUAAAAACUUCAAUCAAACCACACAAACACUUCUCAUAACAUCCAUUACCUCAAAAUAGCUUGAGAAAGCUACAUGCAUCCAUCAAUAGAUAAAAUCUACAAGAUUUUCACAAGUCAUUUAACCCUAACACAACCAAAAACCCUAACUUUCACAAAAACCACUUCCAACAUAACUUUGAAAACUCUCAACUAGUAUAAGAAACCCCAACAAACAACUCAUGCAUCCAAAAUUCUUAAAAAAACCAAACUAAAAGAAAAAAAAAAUUUCAUUGCAUAAAAGCUCAAAUCAAAACUCACAUUCAAUAACUUUAAAAACUUCUUUCUCAUAGCUUUUUCACACUCUUAUCUAAAUACAAAACCAAAGAAAACAAAGCAUGCAUUGCAUACUUUCUCCAAAACUCAUCACAAGAGGCUAGCUUUCCUUGAAGCUUCAUAAAGCCCCUUGACUGCUUUAAUCCACUCCUAGCUUCUUGCCAAGGAAAGAACUAACACAAGUCCCUUGCUCACAAGGAUGAAUUUUGUGGAGAAAAUGGGUUUUUGCAUGCAACAAUGAAAUGAGAGAAAAGGGAAACUAUUUUUUUUUUAACUUUUUUCCUUGAAAACCAAAAUGAAAGACUAUAUAUACCCCUAGUUAUCGAGAGG
rnacentral:misc_RNA from 1 species